rnacentral:ncRNA from 1 species
UCGAACAGGACAGCGGGUAAAAGGGAAGCAGGUGCAAAUCCUGCACGAUCUCGUCACUGUAAGCGGGGAAUGGACUGCCAUUUACGUCACUGAUAUUGCGGUAUCGGGAAGGCGGCAGUUCUAAGGCAACAUCGCAUGAUGAAAGCUGCGGCGCUUUGCGGAAAUUUUGUGUCCUGACUUCGUUGUGAUUUCACGGUAAUACAUCAAGUAUUACCGCAAACCACGCCUCGUCAGUACGCGAGAGUGACUCGCAAAUCGCUCUUGUGCAAUUAUGCGGUAUUGUCUUAAGAGCCGCAAGUCAGGAAACCUGCCGGUCUG